UACGGAGGGUGCAAGCGUUAUCCGGAUUCACUGGGUUUAAAGGGUGCGUAGGCGGAUAUGUAAGUCCGUGGUGAAAUCUCUGGGCUUAACCCGGAAACUGCAUUGAAUACUAUUCGGCUUGAGGUCUGGAGGGGGGACUGGAAUUCUCGGUGUAGCAGUGAAAUGCGUAGAUAUCGAGAGGAACACCAGUGGCGAAGGCGAGUCCCUGGACAGGUCCUGACGCUGAGGCACGAAAGCUAGGGGAGCAAACAGG
rnacentral:rRNA from 1 species